AUGGACAAGGUCGGGCCGGGCCGGAUCGUGCUUUUUCGGGCUGGGUCGGGUCGGGCCGACCGGGCCGGGCUGCCCAUGGCCAGGUAUACCGACGACCUCAUCGCCUUCCCCUCGCUCCAGAUCGAGCAGCAGGUCCGGAUCCACGACCAAGGCGGCGCGAGCGCCCCGAUGUGCAGGUUCAAGCCGCGUGAAGAGGGUGCUCGUUGCGGCUCUAACCCUGGUGCCAACGCCAUGAAGAAGGUGCCCUCUCCAUCACUUCUCUAUCUCAGUUUUCGAUGUGGAGUUGAUGUUGUUCAUAAAGCUCCCUCCCUUCUAUGCUGCAGGAGAACAUCUCUCCUAGGAGAAGCUGCUUCAAUCCCAUCUACUGAAGGAGGAUGCCCACCAUCCAAGGUGCUCAACAUCAUCACCAUUUGUUGCCUGCCAAGCUUACAGGCAUGGAAAGAAAAUAGGAAAAAUGAUAUACUUGCAGCUUCAGAGGAUGACGGAGGACGUCGAGAUUUUGAUCCAGUAGCCUUGCCCCCUUCUCGUUCGGCGUUCCACCUGCAGGAGAUGGAACCAGCUGCGCCCCUCUCCCAAGAGUUGCAGAUCCAUGGCAGCAGCAGCGAGGUGAGCAGCGGCAAAGGCUCCCACCUAGCACCUCCUCUUCCAUUGUCUUUUCAAUCAAGAUUGUUUCCAAUGCUCAAAUGGUCGAGCAUGUAUGGAGUCACUUGCAGGACACUCGAGGAAGAGCUGGUUGAUGCUGGGCUCAAUUCUGAAACUAUAGCAGAGCUUGUCACUCCGUGCUUGCCAGCUGCUCCUCCCUCCGCCUCUGGAUGCGGCGACCAGCUAGGGUUCAUCGGUCGCUGCCAAACCAGAUAUUCCUGUUAUUGUUCGUCUCUCACCAGCUGUGGGAAAGAUGAUGUUUUCUUUCUUGCAAAUUUGUCAGAAGAGCACCUAUGUAAGCUAAUGAUUGUCUGCGACAAAUUUGUCUAA
rnacentral:rRNA from 1 species